CCUACGGGCGGCAGCAGUGAGGAAUAUUGGUCAAUGGGCGGAAGCCUGAACCAGCCAAGUAGCGUGCAGGAUGACGGCCCUACGGGUUGUAAACUGCUUUUAUACGGGAAUAACGCGCCUUACGUGUAGGGCUUUGCAUGUACCGUAUGGAUAAGGACCGGCUGAUUCCGUGCCAGCAUCCGCGGUAAUACGGAAGGACCGGGCGUUAUCCGGGUUUUUUGGGUUUAAAGGGGGCGUAGGCCGCAUGUCAAGCGUGCUGUGAAAUGUCCGGGCUCAACCCGGGCCUGGCAGCGCGAACUGGCGUGCUUGAGUCCGCGGAAAGCAGGCGGAAUUCGUGGUGUAGCGGUGAAAUGCUUAGAUAUGACGAAGAACCCCGAUUGCGAAGGCAGCAUGCUGCAGCGGAACUGACGCUGAUGCUCGAAAGCGCGGGUAUCGAACAGGAUUAGAUACCCUUGUAGUC
rnacentral:rRNA from 1 species